rnacentral:tRNA from 1 species
GCUUCUGUGAUGAAAUGGUAGACAUGCCACGUUGAGGUCGUGGUGCUGGUAUACAGCAUGGCGGUUCGAGUCCGCCCAGAAGCA